CAACAAUUUCAGUGGCCAUGGCUAGGUUUUGCCUUCUAAUUGUAUGCUUUCUCUUCCCAGCUCCACCCAGCAUGUGCAUGUGAAGCCAACCAUAUCUAAAGCUAUGGCAAGGAAACUACAUGGGUGUGGUCCCAGCUAAGCCCAGCCACAUCUCUGCAGGGUUCUGACUGCUCUGGGAGGAGGAAAGCAUGAAACAGGAACAACAGUUCUGUGUCCUUUGCAUGAGUAACAGAUGUUUUGAAAGAGCUGCAAGAGACCAAGGGAACCCUUAUCUAAUCUGCAUAUGAUGUUCGCAAAGGGCCUGCUGGAAGAUCCAAGUCCAGUCUGCACUCAUGAAGCACCUGCUCUGCAGACAGAGAUUACACCUCUUAAUCAUAUACAGUGAAAACUCAUUAGCUGAGAAACUAUUGGCUUUUAUUCUGCCAUUGAGAAAGAACUUGCACUUGGUGUCUCUCACACCUGUGUCUUCCUUCACCCUUGCAACUUCCAUGGGGCUUUUUUCUGAGGAAUUCAUUUUAGCCCCAGAUCCUGCAAGCUGAGAUAUUUAUACAGCCUAAGCCCAGAGUCUCUGAGGAGCAACUAGGAUUAUCAAACCAUUAAAUUUCGGUAAGAUGAGACUUCUCUAGAUUCUAUGGAUUUUACAGCAUUUUUGCAGACUGACAGGCACUGUCAGCUGGGAGCUCAGCAUGGCUUCUUGUUCCCUGCUACCAGGUAGGUGUUCACCUGCAGCUCCAUCCUUUCACAAGUACAUGGUUCUCCUGGACAUUUUAUUGCCAAGUUCUAGAAAAAAACAUAUGAGAUGUCAGAGAAAAACAGAACAUUUAUAUUUUAAGGAUAAAUAAUACUGUUGCUGGAGGAUAAAAAUGCCAUUAAAUUUAUUAACUCUAGUGGUAAUGUCUAUUUAAAAUGGUAUUGAGAAGCAGUCUGCUAUGUAACUAAACUAUUAAAUAAAAGCCCAAACAACAUUUCUUUGUUCAGCCAAACCGACACCAUUGGUAUUACCUUGUUUGCCCACAGUUUAGCUGAGGACCUGGUAGUUUGCUUUCCUGGACAUUGCUUUCUCAAUAAGUGUAUGGCAAAUUCAUAAAGCUCAUCACCACCAUCUGAUGCUCUGCUCUGACCACUGGUUUUGUUGGAGUUAGAGCAGAUUAUUAUUUUUUUCCAACAGGAUGAGCAGGCCUAUUAAACACGGAAUAGAAACUGAACCCAAAACUCGGAGCUGAUGGUGUUUUCUGAAAUGGCCACGUACCAGCUGCAGUGCUGUCGGUAUGUGUUCUGCUGUUGGUUUGAAGGGAGCAGGAUGUGACCUGUGGUACCUUUCAUGGCAGGGCAUUGCAAGCAUGCUACCAUUUAGGGAUCUACUCAUCCUCUAAUAUGCGCCCUGAAAAUGCUGCAACACUGUUUAUUGUCUGUAUUAAGGUUGCGCCUAGUUUAUGCUAAUUUUGAUAGCGGAAAGACCAUGUUCUGUAUCACUUAUGCACAUUUAUGCACAAGGCACUAUUUUCAGCAUGCAUCAGGACCCUAGGCACCCCAAGAGGCUCCGAUUGCCCUGAGCAGCCUUGGAUGGGGGUGGCACCCUCUGCCCCUAGCCAGGCCCUGCAUUUGCACCCCAGCGUUUGCCCUUCCACCUGAGCCGUGCCGU
rnacentral:lncRNA from 1 species